GGAGUUGUUGGGAGAAUUGCUGCAGAUUAUUGCCCUGAGAUUCAGAAAGGGAAAAAACCACCACCACAAGUAACAGGUAUCAAACUGAUGGGAAGCUGAGAGGGAAGACUCCUUCAGGCAGCACAAUUAUGUACCUUGCAAAGGGUCACCUGGGAUAGCCCAUUGCUUAACUGGGAACCUGGAACUGGCUAUUCCUGGAAUCAGCACAGCUCACACACCUCAUCCCAUGGCUCCUGCAGCCACGUCCUCCCAGUGUUUAGAGGCCAGGUACAGGGAGCUGACUCCUGGCUAUGCUACUUCAGCUGCUGACUGUUUCUUUGCACACCUCUUCUGUCCCAGCAGUAUAAGCCCAGAAUUCAAUCCAGGAAGUCUGAAUUCAGAAAGAAAACAAGCCUAUACCACCUAAGAGACAGAACAUCUCUCUCCCUUUGCUCACUGAUUAGUACUUUUUAGCUGCUUCUAUUCCCCCUAAAACUUGCCAUUCAAGAAGUGGAGAAAAUAACUCUUCUCAUUAGCAAUAACAGUCCUGUGAAAAGAAAAAACAACUUGUCUCCCUAAUUAUGGGCAUUGUGUUCGCAGGCCAUUUGCUCUUGAUCACUUCUUUUCAGUUACUCCUCAUACUCUGCUUCAUCUUGCUUGGUAAGACAGCAGCACAAGGGGAAUAUAGUACCUCAUACUGCUCAGCUUCUUCAUUUUUGCAAACCUUAGGGAGGCCUUUUCAUCUUUCUCUCAGAGGAUAAUUAGGUACAGUGAGGGUUAAUACCAGAAGUCCAGUAAAAGCAAGUCCUGUAUAAAAAUAUUCUUUUCAGAAAUAGCAUUAUAAACAGGUGAGCCAGCAGUACUUUUUCUAGUACUGCAGUCCACUCCACUUCCCAUGGAUUUUUCUCUGUCCCAAAAUAAAAAGAACUGAAUAAGUUAAAUCUAACAAGCACCUCAAACAGAUAUCACUUCCCUGGUCAUCCAAAGGAGUGAAGACAAGAUACCUCUGUGCUUAAGAAAUUAAGUUAGAAUAAGAGACGAGCUCAGCAUCCCAAACUGGAAAGACAAAAAAAAAAAAAAAAAAAAGACAA